rnacentral:rRNA from 1 species
CCAUCGAUGUCGACAGAGUUUGAUCCUGGCUCAGAAUCAACGCUGGCGGCGCGCCUAACACAUGCAAGUCGAACGAGAAAGUGGAGCAAUCCAUGAGUACAGUGGCGUACGGGUGAGUAACACGUGGGUAAUCUGCCUCUUAGUGAGGAAUAACCCUGGGAAACCGGGGCUAAUACCGCAUAAGCCUGAGAAGGGAAAGCAGCAAUGCGCUGAGAGAGGAGCCCGCGGCCGAUUAGCUAGUUGGUGGGGUAAGAGCCCACCAAGGCAGAGAUCGGUAGCCGGCCUGAGAGGGCACACGGNCACACUGGCACUGAAAC